AGAGUUUGAUCAUGGCUCAGGACGAACGCUGGCGGCGUGCCUAAUACAUGCAAGUAGAACGCUGAAGUCUGGUGCUUGCACUAGACGGAUGAGUUGCGAACGGGUGAGUAACGCGUAGGUAACCUGCCUCAUAGCGGGGGAUAACUAUUGGAAACGAUAGCUAAUACCGCAUAACAGUAUUUACUGCAUGGUAGAUACUUGAAAGGAGCAAUUGCUUCACUAUGAGAUGGACCUGCGUUGUAUUAGCUAGUUGGUGAGGUAACGGCUCACCAAGGCAUCGAUACAUAGCCGACCUGAGAGGGUGAUCGGCCACACUGGGACUGAGACACGGCCCAGACUCCUACGGGAGGCAGCAGUAGGGAAUCUUCGGCAAUGGGGGCAACCCUGACCGAGCAACGCCGCGUGAGUGAAGAAGGUUUUCGGAUCGUAAAGCUCUGUUGUAAGAGAAGAACUGUGAGAAGAGUGGAAAGUUUCUCACUUGACGGUAUCUUACCAGAAAGGGACGGCUAACUACGUGCCAGCAGCCGCGGUAAUACGUAGGUCCCAAGCGUUGUCCGGAUUUAUUGGGCGUAAAGCGAGCGCAGGCGGUUUGAUAAGUCUGAAGUAAAAGGCUGUGGCUUAACCAUAGUACGCUUUGGAAACUGUCAAACUUGAGUGCAGAAGGGGAGAGUGGAAUUCCAUGUGUAGCGGUGAAAUGCGUAGAUAUAUGGAGGAACACCGGUGGCGAAAGCGGCUCUCUGGUCUGUAACUGACGCUGAGGCUCGAAAGCGUGGGGAGCGAACAGGAUUAGAUACCCUGGUAGUCCACGCCGUAAACGAUGAGUGCUAGGUGUUGGGUCCUUUCCGGGACUCAGUGCCGCAGCUAACGCAUUAAGCACUCCGCCUGGGGAGUACGACCGCAAGGUUGAAACUCAAAGGAAUUGACGGGGGCCCGCACAAGCGGUGGAGCAUGUGGUUUAAUUCGAAGCAACGCGAAGAACCUUACCAGGUCUUGACAUCCCGAUGACCGCCCUAGAGAUAGGGUUUCUCUUCGGAGCAUCGGUGACAGGUGGUGCAUGGUUGUCGUCAGCUCGUGUCGUGAGAUGUUGGGUUAAGUCCCGCAACGAGCGCAACCCCUAUUGUUAGUUGCCAUCAUUCAGUUGGGCACUCUAGCGAGACUGCCGGUAAUAAACCGGAGGAAGGUGGGGAUGACGUCAAAUCAUCAUGCCCCUUAUGACCUGGGCUACACACGUGCUACAAUGGCUGGUACAACGAGUCGCAAGUCGGUGACGGCAAGCUAAUCUCUUAAAGCCAGUCUCAGUUCGGAUUGUAGGCUGCAACUCGCCUACAUGAAGUCGGAAUCGCUAGUAAUCGCGGAUCAGCACGCCGCGGUGAAUACGUUCCCGGGCCUUGUACACACCGCCCGUCACACCACGAGAGUUUGUAACACCCGAAGUCGGUGAGGUAACCGUAAGGAGCCAGCCGCGUAAGG
rnacentral:rRNA from 1 species